CCCUCCGGUUCCCCCGGCCGGCUCUACCCCCAGACUUGGCCCGGCUCCACCUUCACCCCUCGACUCCAUCCCCUAUCUCCCCAGUAAGGUCCGUGCUGGGGACGAAGGUGGAGCCGGCCACCCUCCCCAGUUCGACCCUCCGGCCCGGCUCUAGCCUCCAUCCUCCCAGGUCCGGCUCCACCCCACCCUGGCCCCUCCGGCCACCGCGCUCUGUUCGGGCGGGUUCUGGGGUUGGAGCUCCCCGAGGGGCGGGGGGGCACCUGUCCUGGCCGGGUACCGCGGGGCCUGAGCCCGGUGCAGCCCGUGACCCGACCCUUCUCCCGCAGACAUGUCCUGCCGCUCCCGGCUCGCCACCCUUAACGAGAAGCUGACCGCGCUGGAGCGACGGAUCGAGUACAUCGAGGCCAGGGUAACAAAGGGCGAAACUCUGACCUAACUGCAGAAGGCUGGUGGGGAGCUGACCUGGAGAAGAUUGUGCGGCUGUGCCAGAGUUGACUGUCAGACAUCUGAUUUCUUCAUUACUUCUUAUUGGUGACAGGACUUCAGCUUGUUUCUGAGAUGCAAUAUCCCUGCCUUCAGUGCAUGGCUCCAGGGUGACUCCAGAGGAAAUUGAUAAAAUGCAAAUGAGCAUGUUGAAUUCAGUGAUUUUUGUGCAGACAGAUUCAUGCAGCUGUCAAAUACUCCUGCACCCCUUAAUCUCUCUCUCAUUCCCAGCUGUGCAUGUAGAACGCCUACAUUUUGCAGCUGCAGAAUCUCUCUGGCCAAAAGUCGCUUUGUGGGAAGAAAACUUCUCUUGGGAGCUGACUGGCUGAGGAAGUGGGUGUCCAUGCUAUUGGCGGGCCACUCCUCUGGUGGUUUCAGUUCCUUUAGCAAACACUGCAACUUAUAUCUCUUAGCAAAAAUGUCAAAUAUAUCCAUCCUUCCAGUCUGCGAGCAGAGCAGUACAUGUGCAGUCUGUGGUUGGCAGGGUGAGGCAGGGGAAUAGGUAAUGUGCCAAGAUAAACUCUCUGGGCAGGGUGGGUUUCAGAGCUUUCUGUGUCUUUUGUAUUCUGUAAUGUCACAUGGGGAGUGUCUUUCAUUUGUGUUUCAACAAUAAAUUGCCUCUGCUGAUGGGGUCUGAGCUGA